rnacentral:lncRNA from 1 species
AUGAGCCUGUGUGUCCUCUGUCCUCUCCACUGGAUCCCAAGGAUGCCCCCUUCUGCUCACAGGUUCCAUGUGCCGGGCCUGGCUCACAAGAGGGACACAGGUCAUCUUUUAGAAGGAAAAAGUCAAUCAUCUGUCUCUCUCUCUCUCUGUCUCUCUCUCUCCAGCAUGGGCAGCAGAUCCCCUCUUGGGAGAAUGAUAAGGACUCUUCUUUGCCUGCCGGACCAGGACUCCCUGACUAGCUCAUAUGCCCAGAGAGAAUGUGGAUUACCUGCUUUCAACAGAGAUCUUUUUGUCCUUAGCCACAGAGAUUUUUCUGUUUCUUCCCUUAGUAAAGGGCUCCUCUCUGUGCUCUUGUACAUUGGAUGUAGGUGGUGACUUCAAGAUCUCCAAGCCAAGGGGCUAUGAAGUUCAGUCUUGGUCAACGUGAUGGAUGCCCUGCCCCAGGCUGGGCCAAGGUAAGCCCGGUGGACCUUUGCUGUCCAGGACCAUAGCCACCAGCCACAUGUGUCCAAUGAGUGCUUGAAAUAUGGCCCAUCCAAACUGAGAUGAGCUACAAGUGUAAAAUACACACCAGAUUUUAAAGAUCUAAUAAGAAAAGAAAAAAGAAUGAAAAAUAGGUGAUGUAUGAUGAUUAUAUACUGAUUAUAUGCCAAAAUGAUAAUAUUUCGAAAAUUUUUUAAGAUUUUAUUUAUUCAUGAGAGACACAGAGAGAGAGGCAGAGACACAGGCACAGGGAGAAGCAGGCUCCAUGCAGGGAGCCCGACGUGGGACUCGAUCCCAGGACUCUGGGGUCACGACCUGAGCUAAAGGCAGACGCACAAGCACUGAGCCACCCAGGUGCCCAUAACAUUUUGAAUGUAACAGGUUAAAUAGUAUUUAACUUCACAUUUUUUUAAAAUGUAUUUUAAUGGGGUUGCUAGACAGUUUUAAAUGAGCUUCAUGGUUUGUAUUUCAUUUCUAACAGGGACUGUCUACGGUGUAGGCAGCCGGGGUGGCACUGUGGGCUCAGGGCCCCCCGCGGAGGGUGGGCAGGUGCCAGGAAUGGGAGCAGCUCCCCUGGUGUGGUCAGGAAGCCCAUGCCUGUGGCCUGGCUGCCCUCCAGGGGGCUGUGAGGGACUUCCUGCCCCAUUCUUGAGCCACUUGAUGCUGAAAGCUCCAGAGAACUUCCUCUUGUCUCAGACAUCCAGGUGUUUUAGAAAAUGAAACCUGGACUGUAGCCAAUAUUUGUCCCAAACGUGGGCCUGAGGGGGACACUGUUCCAACACCCCAGAACCCCAGGGACGAGCAUUCCACAUGUCUACAAAGAGAGGCUCUGGUCCCUUCGGAAAUGUUUUCAGAGUCUAGGCCGAAUGGGCCGGGGGCGGGGGCUGGGGGGUGGCUGCAGUGCGCGGCCAGGGAGACGGAGGGGCGCGCCAAAGGCCAUCGCACACAGAUGACCGGGACACAGCCCGGCCCGGGGCCAGGAAGAGCAAACCCCUCCCGACAGUUCUGCGUAGACGCGCCGUGGGCCGUGGGCCGGGUGGCAGCGCGGGGCUGAGCCGGGAGGGGCCCGAUGUGGGGAAGGCUGCAGCCCAACUGCCCUGAGGAAUACGGGUCGGGGUGGAAUGGGGAAUACCCGCGAUGGGAAAGGUGCCUUGGGUUCCAGAACAGACACGAGGCUGAAUCAACGGGAAACUGGCAGAUGGGUCUCUAACUGCGCCCCCCACGGGGCGCCAGCGCAGCCCACCUGCGGCUUUGCUGGGGCGACGGGUGGAGGCAGAUCCCUAACCUAGUAGCUGCGGCCCCGGCCGGCCCUGCUGGCUGCCCGUCCACACCGCUGACCCAGCUCGGCCCGGCCUCGCCUCGCAGCCCGGUGCGAACAACCCCUGGUGCCACCCUGGGGUCUCGGCUCCGGGCUCCAAAGCGGUCUGGAGCGGCCGUCCCAGGGAAGGGACAGCUGGACCCGGAGCAGCCCCUGCCCGUAGUGGCCAUCCCCGCUCUGAUGGACGCUUGUCCCCGGCAGGCUGCUCGAGGCACUGCAGCCGCACCCGGUGCCCCCGCGCUGUCCUGUCCUCCUUACCCUGCUUCCCUCGGUUGGCCCAGGGCAACCUCACCAGCGCCCAGGAGAAGACUCCGCAGUCGGGGCGCAGGCCGGCAACCGAGCCAUGAACAUAAGCGAACCCUGAGCAUUCCCGCUUCCGGCUGCCGGGUCCCCUGCCAGCCUCCCGGAGAGCGGGGUUUGUGAAAUACCAGCCUUGUCUAUGCCCUACGCUCACUCAUGCUCCGGAGCCCCUGCUUACCAGCCACACGGCGCUCGGGAGAGAACCUUCAUCCCAAAUGUGAGCCAAAGAUCAAGUUUAACGGUGUGGUCCCAAAUUACACAUCAUUACACGACAGGAGGCCAAAGGAGGUCUCUCCUUCCCUACCAGAAACCUCUGCUCGUCCACGCCUCUCUCUACAGGUAAGGCUGCCAGAUAAGAUACAGGGUGACCGGUUACAUGGAAACUUCAAAUAAACAUGAAAAAAAUUUUAGUACAAGCAUGACCCCAAUAUUACAUGUGACACAUUGCUAUUUAAAAUGUUAUUUGUUCCCUGUACAUUUUUAGGAUUAUAAACAGGUCUCGCCGCUCUGGGAAAAGGUAUGGGGUUUCCUUGAAAACUUAGAAACAGAACUACCGUAAGAUCCAGCCAUCCCACUUCUGGGAUGAAAUUUCCUUUGGAAAUGGAAACAGCUUCUCUGAGAUGUAUCUGCACUUGCCCGGUGAUUGCAGCAUUAUUUACAAGAGUCAAGACAUGGAAACCACCUGAGCGUCAAUGGAUAAAUGGACAAAGAAGGUGUGGUUUAUGCAUACAAUGGAAUAUCAUCCAGCCGCAAGGAAAAAGGAAAUCCUGCCACUUGCCACAACAGGGCUAUAAGGCGUGAUAUCACCUAUAUGUGAAAUCUAAAAAAAACAAAACAAAACAAAUUCAUAGACACAGCAUAGAGUAGUGACCACCAGGGCCUGGGAGAUGGAGGAAAUGGGGAGAUACUGGUCAAACUGUACAAACUUCCAGUUAUAAGACAGAUAAGUUCUGGGCAUCUGAUGUAUGGGAUGGUGAGCAUCUAGUUAAUGAUGCUGCAUUAUGUUCUUGAAGAUUGCUUAGAGAGUAGAUCUUAAAUGUUCUCACCACAAAAAAGAAGUGGCAAAUAUGUGAGGUGACGGAGAUGUUAGCUGGAGCUCCGGGGGCAAUCAUUUCACGAUAUGGGAGUGUCUCAACACCUAAACUCACACCAAUGUCGUAUGUUGAUUAUAUUUUGAUAAAGGCUAAAAAAAAAAAAAAAAGAAAUUGCCUAAAACAUGAUGUGCUUCUCUGGUGGCUAGAAGGGAAAUGCUCAGGGCGGAGCGAAAGGCUGUGUUGAUACAGUGUUGUGAAUUUUUAAAUAGAUUGGCAUUUUUAGGUGAUAGAAAAAGCUUUAGGGCAGCCCGGGUGGCUCAGCAGUUUAGCACCGCUGUCAGCCAGGGCCUGAUCCUGGGGACCCGGGAUCAAGUCCCACAUCAGGCUCCCUGCAUGGAGCCUGCUUCUCCCUCUGCCUGCGUCUCUGCCUCUCUCUUUCUCCUCUCUGUAUAUUCUCAUGAAUGAAUAAAUAAAAUCUUUUAAAAAAUAAAAAAAAAGCUUUAUUUACUAUGCAAUUCUUCUUUUAAUCAAAUGACAUUUGUUGGUGAGGCACUAAUGUAGUGCGUGUGUGGGUGAGCACGCGUGUGUAAUGUCUCCGGGGACAGCUUGAAUUCUCCUUCAGCCGUUGGGCUGCCCGCCCCACAGAUUUCUGAGAUUAGACCUUAAACUAUAGUUAACUAGCAAAUUAGCUUCUCUAUCUCUUGGUAACCCGCCGAAUAAGCAGGCUGCUCCAACUGUGGGCAUAUUAUGGCCGAGGGUUUAACACAGAUAAAAGGAGGGGCACCUGGGUGGCUCAGUUGUUGAGCGUCUGCCUUCGGCUCAGGUCGUGACCCCGAGGUCCUGGGAUCGAGUCCCACGUCGGGCUCCCUGCAAGGAGCCUGCUUCUCCCUCUGCCUGUGUCUCUGCCUCUCUCCCUCUCUCUCUGUGUGUUAGCAAAGACACAACCAGAGGGAGAAGCAGGCUCCCCGCAAGGACCCCAGUGCGGGACUCGAUCCUGGAUCGAUCAGGACCUGAGGUGAAGGCAGAUGCUCAACCACUGAGCCAUCCAGGCGUCCCUAAAUAUAAAUUUUAAAACUGCCUGCAGUUUUUCUGUAAGUUCGAUAUGGCUACAGAAUAAUAAUUUAAAAAAGAAAAUCAAGGCUCAAAGACUUAAAUAACCUGACCAAGGCCACGUGGAUAACAGGUGGCUGCUCCAAAUUGCAGCUUGGGGGUAUCCGAACCCCAGAUCUCCACCCUCACCCACAUGGCCCUGGAAGUCCCAGCUGCCUCCCCUGAGGCCCUGCAAGUCCACCCAAGAGGACCCCUCCUCCUGUUCCUUCACCUGCAGAACAGUCCUCCCUCACCCAAGCCAUGUUGAGGGCCUCUUGAUGGAACUGGUCCCCCACCAGCCCCAGCUCCCCC